rnacentral:rRNA from 1 species
GAGGUAGGGACUACUUUUGGUUAACAGUAAUUUUUUGUUAUUAUUUCUUUAUUUAUUAAUUUUAGGUGAAAUUUAUAUUUUUAAUUAAUGUAAUUUUAAGGAGUCUGUGAAACUUAUAUUUAAGACUAGGAUUAGAUACCCUAUUAUAUUAGGUGUUAAUUUUUGCCUGGGUAGUAUUAGUUAUGUUCUUGAAACCCAAAGGAUUUGGCGGUAUUUUAGUCCUUUCAGAGGAGCCUGUCCUAUAAUCGACAUUCCACGAUAUAUCCUACUUAUAUUGGUUUUCAGUUUGUAUACCUCCGUCAUAUGGGUAUUUUUUUAGAAUUAAUUCCCAUGCACAUUUAAUGUGAUUAUGUCAGGUCAAGGUGCAGCUUAUAUGUAAGUUGAGAUGGGCUACAAUAAUUUUAUUUAGACGGAUUUAUUUAUAUAUAUAAAUAUUGAAGGUGGAUUUGAAAGUAAAUUGGUUUAUUUAGUUGUUUGAAUUUGGCUCUAUAAUAUGCACACAUCGCCCGUCGCUCUCUCUAUAAAGAGAGAUAAGUCGUAACAUAGUAAGUGUAUCGGAAGAUGUACUUAGAAAGU